rnacentral:misc_RNA from 1 species
GAAAUGCGAUAAGUAAUGUGAAUUGCAGAGUUUUGUGAAUCAUCGAAUCUUUGAACGCACAUUGCGCCCGUCGGCAUUUCGACGGGCAUGCCUGUCCGAGCGUCGUUCGCAUCCCAUCGAGUCACAUCUCGGUCUUGGGCCUUCCGUCCCUCGCGCGUCGGGGGGCGGGCCCCAAAGCCCUCGGCGGCCCCUGGCGUCCGUCGGAGCGUCUUCGAAAGCAUAUCGCUCCGCGCGGCGCCGGCGGGACUCCUGCCCAGAGGCGGGCGGAAAUCGCGCGCAACGCAACAAGAGGUUUGACCUCGGAUCAGGUAGGGAUACCCGCUGAACUUAAGC